GCCAGGCUGGGGCAGCACCACAGCUUCUGCGUGCUGGUCUGCGUGGGGAUGGGAUGUUUAAUCACAACAUGCCCCUUGCAGGGAGAUCGAUGUAGGCUAGCAGCAAGGGAGGUGAAGACCAGGCGGCCUAGACUCACCCAGAGUGGUUGGCACUGGUAGGAGCAACAGCCAAGAACUGGAGCUGGUCUGGAGGAGAGGAAGGAGAGAUGAAGCAGCUUCCCAGCUCCCCCAGGCUGUCUCUCCUCCAAGCAUCUCUGAGGUUGGAGACCUACAAGCAGACUGAUGAAGGCACCUACAGAUGGGAGAUCCCGGCUCCCAUCGCGUUUCCCUGGGCUA